rnacentral:misc_RNA from 1 species
AAAGGUGCAAGCAUCUUGCCCAGCCUAUUUGGUAGCGUUGAAUUGAUUCGAAUUCUACCCCCAGCCGGAAUUGUGCGAACUAUGCAAGCUAACAGAGAUCUUUCAUCAAGGAGUACAGUCUCUGAAGUUUUUCCUACAGUCAUCACAUUUGUCUGCCCUGUUGAGAUCAAUGCUUCAGACAAAACUACAUCAGUACCAUUAUUGAUUGUGGCUUCACUGACAUUAACUGAAUGCAUUGACGUUUCAGAUAAUGGUGCACUGGCAGAAGAACUUGGUUCUUGCAUCAAAACUUGGUCAUCUAACCUGUGAUCACUCGAGUUCAAAACACUUUGCUCCUUCAUUUCACUGUUUUGAUCAAGAGAAUUCAGAUUUAAAGAAUCACUAAAUUGGGAAGAAAUCUGCUGUAAGUUCUGCUCAGGUUGGGAGGCAACCAAGUAACUUCUAUCCACUGACUCAAGGACCUGAGCUUCCCUAGAGGACGAAGAGAUUACAGGAUCAGGCUCUGUCCCUUGGCUGAUGUUAACAUCCAGAUAAUCUGGAUGAAAACCUUGUCCAUUGACAGACAUUUCAUACUCAUACUUUGCAUCUGAUCUCAUCUCAUAAGGUUGUGAUCAGUUUGGGAUAAUGUGAGUUGAUUUUGUGUAGGUGAUUGAGCACCCUCAGACAUGGCCUGCUGUUUCUGCCAGUGUGGAAGAGAUGACAUUGCUGGUAUUGAAUGAAAAUGCCCAACAUAAGAUUGUGGAACAUGUGAUGGCAUAGAAUGAGGAAUCCCCUGUUGGUGCAGGAUGAAUGGAUGCAGUGCAGUCACCUGUCCAGGCGGAAGGUAGGUAGGCAUACCAAGUAAAGACGAUGGUGCAAUGGGAACACCAGCAACAUGGUUGGUCUGGUUUGAUGGAUUAUCUGCAUUCCCAUUUGGAAGUGGUCCAUUAUUAGCACUUGUUACACCAUUUCCAUUAACAUCUAGUUGGUUUCCAUUGCUUUGACCAAACUUUGAUAUAUCCUUUGAGCUUGUCUGGGAUAUGCGUGACUCUUCAGGGUAAGAUCCACUCCUUUCUCUUGUAUCAGCUAGCUCAAGAUGAAGCUGUUGUACAGUAUGCAAAUGAAGUCUCUCCAUCUCUGCUAACUGAUAAACCAAAGGAAGAAGCAAAUAAAUCAAUCCAAAAAUGAUUAAACUUUGGCCAGAAGAAUAGCAGCAUCACGCUGUUUAUCAUGUAGCAGUAUUUAUCUAUACUGCAUCAGUAAAGGUAUACGAAGGAUUUUUUUUUUUUUUUUUUUUUUUUGAAUCAAAAUAAAUUUCAGAAGUAAAAUGAAUAAGCCAAUUAGUCAGCUGAGAGAAAGAGGAAACUGUACAGAUACAAGCAAGCAUACAGGACACACAAAUGUAAUAUAAGCCAACAUCUGUCUAAAUGCCAAAAGAACUGAUUGCAAGUCAACCUGUCUUUGACAACCCAACCAUAGCUGAUUA